rnacentral:rRNA from 1 species
GACGAACGCUGGCGGCGUGCUUAACACAUGCAAGUCGAACGGAAAGGCCCUGCUUUUGUGGGGUGCUCGAGUGGCGAACGGGUGAGUAACACGUGAGUAACCUGCCCUUGACUUUGGGAUAACUUCAGGAAACUGGGGCUAAUACCGGAUAGGAGCUCCUGCUGCAUGGUGGGGGUUGGAAAGUUUCGGCGGUUGGGGAUGGACUCGCGGCUUAUCAGCUUGUUGGUGGGGUAGUGGCUUACCAAGGCUUUGACGGGUAGCCGGCCUGAGAGGGUGACCGGCCACAUUGGGACUGAGAUACGGCCCAGACUCCUACGGGAGGCAGCAGUGGGGAAUAUUGCACAAUGGGCGGAAGCCUGAUGCAGCAACGCCGCGUGCGGGAUGACGGCCUUCGGGUUGUAAACCGCUUUCGCCUGUGACGAAGCGUGAGUGACGGUAAUGGGUAAAGAAGCACCGGCUAACUACGUGCCAGCAGCCGCGGUGAUACGUAGGGUGCGAGCGUUGUCCGGAUUUAUUGGGCGUAAAGGGCUCGUAGGUGGUUGAUCGCGUCGGAAGUGUAAUCUUGGGGCUUAACCCUGAGCGUGCUUUCGAUACGGGUUGACUUGAGGAAGGUAGGGGAGAAUGGAAUUCCUGGUGGAGCGGUGGAAUGCGCAGAUAUCAGGAGGAACACCAGUGGCGAAGGCGGUUCUCUGGGCCUUUCCUGACGCUGAGGAGCGAAAGCGUGGGGAGCGAACAGGCUUAGAUACCCUGGUAGUCCACGCUGUAAACGGUGGGUACUAGGUGUGGGGUCCAUUCCACGGGUUCCGUGCCGUAGCUAACGCUUUAAGUACCCCGCCUGGGGAGUACGGCCGCAAGGCUAAAACUCAAAGGAAUUGACGGGGCCCCGCACAAGCGGCGGAGCAUGCGGAUUAAUUCGAUGCAACGCGUAGAACCUUACCUGGGUUUGACAUGGAUCGGGAGUGCUCAGAGAUGGGUGUGCCUCUUUUGGGGUCGGUUCACAGGUGGUGCAUGGCUGUCGUCAGCUCGUGUCGUGAGAUGUUGGGUUAAGUCCCGCAACGAGCGCAACCCUUGUUCACUGUUGCCAGCACGUUAUGGUGGGGACUCAGUGGAGACCGCCGGGGUCAACUCGGAGGAAGGUGGGGAUGACGUCAAGUCAUCAUGCCCCUUAUGUCCAGGGCUUCACGCAUGCUACAAUGGCUGGUACAGAGAGUGGCGAGCCUGUGAGGGUGAGCGAAUCUCGGAAAGCCGGUCUCAGUUCGGAUUGGGGUCAGCAACUCGACCUCAUGAAGUCGGAGUCGCUAGUAAUCGCAGAUCAGCAACGCCGCGGUGAAUACGUUCCCGGGGCU